UACGGGGGGGGCAAGCGUUGUUCGGAAUUACUGGGCGUAAAGGGCUCGUAGGCGGCCAACUAAGUCAGACGUGAAAUCCCUCGGCUUAACCGGGGAACUGCGUCUGAUACUGGAUGGCUUGAGUUUGGGAGAGGGAUGCGGAAUUCCAGGUGUAGCGGUGAAAUGCGUAGAUAUCUGGAGGAACACCGGUGGCGAAGGCGGCAUCUUGGACCAACACUGACGCUGAGGAGCGAAAGCCAGGGGAGCAAACGGG
rnacentral:rRNA from 1 species